GAUGAACGCUGGCGGCGUGCCUAAUACAUGCAAGUCGAGCGAACGGACGAGAAGCUUGCUUUUCUGAUGUUAGCGGCGGACGGGUGAGUAACACGUGGAUAACCUACCUAUAAGACUGGGAUAACUUCGGGAAACCGGAGCUAAUACCGGAUAAUAUUUUGAACCGCAUGGUUCAAAAGUGAAAGACGGUCUUGCUGUCACUUAUAGAUGGAUCCGCGCUGCAUUAGCUAGUUGGUAAGGUAACGGCUUACCAAGGCAACGAUGCAUAGCCGACCUGAGAGGGUGAUCGGCCACACUGGAACUGAGACACGGUCCAGACUCCUACGGGAGGCAGCAGUAGGGAAUCUUCCGCAAUGGGCGAAAGCCUGACGGAGCAACGCCGCGUGAGUGAUGAAGGUCUUCGGAUCGUAAAACUCUGUUAUUAGGGAAGAACAUAUGUGUAAGUAACUGUGCACAUCUUGACGGUACCUAAUCAGAAAGCCACGGCUAAUUACGUG
rnacentral:rRNA from 1 species